rnacentral:rRNA from 4 species
CCAAUGCUUCUAAUUUCAUAGCAAGCUCGCUUGCUAUGAAAUAGGCAACCAGUAAUAUAAGCAAGUGUGUGCUAUUUAUAGCGCUAGCCUACAAACCUAUAAUUAUAUUAACUCUAAGAGAAAUUUAAUAAUAAACGAAGUGAAUUGAAAUAUCUUAGUAACUUUAGGAAAAGAAAUCAAAAGAGAUUCUAUGAUUAGCGUGAGCUAAAAUAGACUAGCCUAAAAAGUCAAAUGGUGGAUAAACUGUUUAAAUUAAAUGGGGAACCUUCCUCAAAGGCUAAAUAUAAUGUAUAAGCGAUAGUGGAAAGUACCGUGAGGGAACCAAAACAAAAACAGUGAUUUUAUAAGCAGUUCGGAAAAAUAAAAAAAAGUUAGAACGUACCUUUUGCAUAAUGGGUCACCAAGUUAACAUUAGAUGCGAGUAGGAGGCUUUGCCCAUACAUACGUAGUUAAACCGAGCGUUAAAAUAACGGUAAGUAUCUAAAGUUAGACCCGAAGCCUGGUGAUUUUACCAUAAUCAGGAUUAUAAAAGUCCGAACGGAAUAUUGUAGCAUAAAUAUCCGAAGAAUUAUGGUAGGUGUAGUGAAAGACAAUACUGACCAGGAUAGCUGGUUUUCUGCGAAACCUAUAACAGUAGGCAAUUUAAGUAUAAUAUCUUAGCAGGUACAGAAUUUAAUCUCAGACAAGACAUAAGGCUUAGCUUGCUAGCAAGUAAAGCUCAUGUUUUAUUUUGUACAAAUUGGGGGAUCAUGAAGAUUUUAUCAGUGAGUAUGUAGACUCGGAAUGGCAAAGAUAUAUCUUAAAUCAUCAGACAUAGAAUGAUAAGGUUGUAUGUCAAAAGGGAAACAGCCCAGAACAAGAGUUAAGGUUCCUAAAUUAUUAGUUGAGUGAAAUUAAGAAGGUUUUUAUUAAAGUCGACAAGGAGAUAGGCUUAGAAGCAGCCAUAAUUUUAUGACCUCGUAACAGAGCGCUUGUUAAGUUUUAAAAGCAUCGAAAAUUUAUCGGAUCUAAACAAUAUACCGAAACCUUGUCCAUAUUAUUUUAUAAUUAAAGCUUAAUUAUAAUUAAAUGGGGUAGCAGAACGUUGAGCUAAAUUAAGAUUUUUAUUUUUUAAAUGAAAUUAUAAUAAUUUAACUCAAGUGAUAAUGGUGACAUGAGUAACUAAAAGAAAAAAUAAAAUUUUUCCGCCUAAAGCUUAUGGAUGUAAUUAAGUAACGGCCUCUAAGUUUAUAUUAUCUAAAGAUUUAAACGAUGAGAUAAUCUUUUGUACUAAGGACGACAUUUUAAGUGAAAAAUGUACUGGAAAAAUAGUACUAAAUUAAUGGGUAUAGCUAAUUAGUUAGCUAUAGCUAUAAAUGAAAAGUAACCGUACCUAGAAUCUGAAACAAGUAAGCUAGUAGAGAAUACGAAGGCGUAAAUGAGCUAACAAUCAUAAAGGAACUCGGCAAAUUGACUACCGUAACUUCGGGAUAAGGAGAGCUCAUUAUUCUUGAUUAAUAUCAGGUAAAGAGGAAGAAGCAUGAAAUAGUGUUGUACGACUGUUUAAUUAAAACACAGCACUUUGCUGAAAGAUUAAAAAUCUAAGUAUAGAGUGUGAUGUCUGCCCGGUGCCGGCUGGUUAACAGAUAUAAUUAAAUAUACUAAUAUUUGAUGUAGACGGAAACCCCGGUUAAAGGCGGCCUUAACGUGAGGGUCCUAAGGUAGCGAAAUGCCUUGGCCGUUAAAUGCGGUCUUGCAUGAAUGAUGUAACGAUACAACAGCUGUCUCUAUGAUUGACUCAGUGAAAUUGGAAUAGCUGUGCAGAUACAGUUUACCUCUAGUUAGACGAGAAGACCCUAUGCAGCUUUACUGUCACUAAUUAUAGAGUAUGAUAAACAAUUUUCAGAUUAUAAGGUAAUUGACGGCUAGCUUGUUCAGCAAGCUAGCUCUAUGACAAUGAGAAUCCUUUAUUUUUUUUUCAUAUGAAUGAAUUGGUUUAGGAUUAUGAGUAGGUAGCGGCUUCUGCUACUUGGCGUAAGCAUUGCUUGCGUCAGGUGUCUGAAGUAUGCAUUCCAGCUCAUGCAUAGUAAAUCAACCUAAUUCAGCUUAUUUUCCUUUCUGCCAUAAGCGCAUAAUGAUAGAUUUAACUUAAAUUUUGAUUUAUGCCAGCUGCAGAAAUAGAUAAGUACCCUUGGCUAAGGAACUAUCGCUAGGGGACAGUUUAUGUGGGGCACAGACCCUGUAAAGAGUAAACAGGAGUGUCUAAUAAUUUAUAAUUAUUUUGUUUGCGAUUUAAGAUAGUGAAACUAUUUUUAAUCAUAUAAAAUUAUUUAUAUGUACAUUCGUUGUAUAUAUAUUUAAAAAAAGGUAGGAUUUUCACUAUAUAGAAAUUAGAGAUAAUAAAAAUAUUAAGAAUAUACGUUUCAGGCUGGGAGGGGGAAGCUCCUCCCUUUGAAAGGUAGCACUAAUAUUUUUUAGCUAUUAAGACAGGCUAUCAAGCUAGGCUCUAAUAGUUAUGUAUUAAUUAUCUAAAAAGCUCAACGGCUAAAUCUUGCCUUACUGUUUGAUUAUCAACAAAUCU